AUUGAACGCUGGCGGCAUGCUUUACACAUGCAAGUCGAACGGCAGCGCGGGCUUCGGCCUGGCGGCGAGUGGCGAACGGGUGAGUAAUGCAUCGGAACGUGCCCAGUAGUGGGGGAUAGCCCGGCGAAAGCCGGAUUAAUACCGCAUACGACCUGAGGGUGAAAGCGGGGGACCGAAAGGCCUCGCGCUAUUGGAGCGGCCGAUGUCGGAUUAGCUAGUUGGUGGGGUAAAGGCUUACCAAGGCGACGAUCCGUAGCUGGUCUGAGAGGACGACCAGCCACACUGGGACUGAGACACGGCCCAGACUCCUACGGGAGGCAGCAGUGGGGAAUUUUGGACAAUGGGGGCAACCCUGAUCCAGCCAUGCCGCGUGCGGGAAGAAGGCCUUCGGGUUGUAAACCGCUUUUGUUCGGGAAGAAAUCCUCUGGGCUAAUACCCCGGGGGGAUGACGGUACCGGAAGAAUAAGCACCGGCUAACUACGG
rnacentral:rRNA from 1 species